GCCGGCUUAGCUCAGCGGUAGAGCAGCGCUCUUGUAAAGCGAAGGUCGCGAGUUCGAUCCUCGCAGCCGGCUCC
rnacentral:tRNA from 1 species